rnacentral:lncRNA from 1 species
CACUGUUUGGUUUGGGAAUAGGGAUAGGAAUAGGCCCUUAUACCCCCCUUUAUAUCCAAACGCUAAUUUUUUAUCCGAGAAUAGUAGUUCUCGGUUAUCCCCACCAACACUCCAUUUUCUAUAUAAAACUUCCUAAUAUUUUUCUUAUCCUCGGGAACAACCCAAUUUUUAUCCAAACGCUAUUUUUCUUAUCCUCAUACUUGUACCUAUCCCUAUAAUAACUAGUUCUUACUUAUACCCGAACCAAACGGUACCUAUAUAUAUAUAUAUAUCCAGGGAUUCUUUGCGAUAUUUAGUUUUUAAUGAAUUUAAAAAAUUAAUGUUCUUAGAUAUUAGGAAAGGUAAUAGAAGAGGAAGUAAAUAAAAGUUUA